UGACCCCAGAUUAGGUAGCACUACCCACUGAGUUUAAGCAUAUCAAUAAACAGGGAAAAAGAAACUUACAAGGAUUCCCUUAGUAAUAGUGAGUGAACUUGGAGUAGCCCAGCUUUAGAAUCGGACGAUCUCGUCAUCCAA
rnacentral:rRNA from 1 species